rnacentral:rRNA from 1 species
UACGGAGGGUGCGAGCGUUAUCCGGAUUUACUGGGUUUAAAGGGUGUGUAGGCGGACUGUUAAGUCAGUGGUGAAAUCCCGGGGCUCAACCCCCGGAACUGCCAUUGAUACUAUCAGUCUUGAAUACUGUGGAGGUGAGCGGAAUGUGUCAUGUAGCGGUGAAAUGCUUAGAGAUGACACAGAACACCGAUUGCGAAGGCAGCUCACUACGCAGUUAUUGACGCUGAGGCACGAAAGCGUGGGGAUCAAACAGG